CAGCAGCGCGGUAAUACGAAGGGGGCUAGCGUUGUUCGGAAUCACUGGGCGUAAAGCGCACGUAGGCGGACACUUAAGUCAGAGGUGAAAUCCCAAGGCUCAACCUUGGAACUGCCUUUGAUACUGGGUGUCUUGAGGUCGAGAGAGGUGAGUGGAACUGCGAGUGUAGAGGUGAAAUUCGUAGAUAUUCGCAAGAACACCAGUGGCGAAGGCGGCUCACUGGCUCGAUUCUGACGCUGAGGUGCGAAAGCGUGGGGAGCAAACAGGAUUAGAUACCCCAGUAGUCCCUGUCUCUUAUACC
rnacentral:rRNA from 1 species